rnacentral:rRNA from 1 species
GACGAACGCUGGCGGCGUGCUUAACACAUGCAAGUCGAACGGAAAGGCCCUGCUUUUGUGGGGUGCUCGAGUGGCGAACGGGUGAGUAACACGUGAGUAACCUGCCCUUGACUUUGGGAUAACUUCAGGAAACUGGGGCUAAUACCGGAUAGGAGCUCCUGCUGCAUGGUGGAGGUUGGAAAGUUUCGGCGGUUGGGGAUGGACUCGCGGCUUAUCAGCUUGUUGGUGGGGUAGUGGCUUACCAAGGCUUUGACGGGUAGCCGGCCUGAGAGGGUGACCGGCCACAUUGGGACUGAGAUACGGCCCAGACUCCUACGGGAGGCAGAAGUGGGGAAUAUUGCACAAUGGGCGGAAGCCUGAGGCAGCAACGCCGCGUGCGGGAUGAAGGCCUUCGGGUUGUAAACCGCUUUCGCCUGUGACGAAGCGUGAGUGACGGUAAUGGGUAAAGAAGCACCGGCUAACUACGUG